AUUGAACGCUGGCGGCAGGCUUAACACAUGCAAGUCGAACGAGUGGCGGACGGGUGAGUAAUGCUUGGGAAUCUACCUUGUGGAGGGGGAUAACUUCCGGAAACUGGCGCUAAUACCGCAUACCAUAGGAUGAGCCCAAGUGGGAUUAGCUAGUGGGUGAGGUAAAGGCCUACCAAGCCGACGAUCCCUAGCUGGUCUGAGAGGAUGACCAGCCACACUGGAACUGAGACACGGUCCAGACUCCUACGGGAGGGAGCAGUGGGGAAUAUUGCGCAAUGGGCGAAAGCCUGAUGCAGCCAUGCCGCGUGUAUGAAGAAGGCCUUCGGGUUGUAAAGUUCUUUCAGCGGGGAGGCGUUACCCACAGAAUAAGCACCGGCUAACUUCGUGCCAGCAGCCGCGGUAAUAC
rnacentral:rRNA from 1 species